rnacentral:tRNA from 1 species
GCCUGUAGCUCAGUGGCAGAGCGCCCGGCUCAUAACCGGUCAGUCGUAGGUUCGAACCCUACCGGGCC